AAUAUAGCCUGUAUCUGCAGUCUUGGCCCAACAACAUCACUCAACCUCGGGCGAAGGCACACGGUUCCAUCAAGCCGCUCUACCGCUCUACGACUGUACCUUUGAAUUCAAAAGUACUGCCUAAAACGUGAGAAGAACCAUGUCUGCGCACACUCAUCUUUGGUUCCUGCUCGCCUGUUUGUUAUUCCUGACGUCAUCAGUAGAUGCUGCAGGAAUGAUGAGCGCCAUGUCGGAGACCUUGGGUUUCUUCGGGAUGUGGUACGGCCUCAUCGGCCUCAGCAUCGUCAUCAUCUUCGUCAUUGCCUUCACCGGGUUCGUGGAGAAGUAAUCUCGCGAGAUUUCGUGAUCACGCGGGACUUCGUGACGUAACGUGACGUUACCCCUUAUCUAUCACCCCCCCCCCACUUCACAACAAUGUCGUGACCUUCACAACAAUAGCACCUCGCGAGGCCACACAAGCUUUCUUUAUAUUGUGAUUUUAUGUUUCAAUCUAUACGUAUGGGUUGUAGUCAAAAUUCAGCAAUACUGAAAUAUCUAUUGCCAUGAGAGGAAAAAUGACGUUAAUUCUUCUUCAGUGACAAGAAAUCUAUCAAUAUCAGAGAUAUCAUAUACGCUGGACUAAGUGGAGCAAUUGGUCAAUUUGAAUGAGAUACGUGUAAGCAUCGUAGGUUUGUACGAGGGAUGGAAUAUAUGUCAUACUUGCUAUGGUUACGCCUAAGGGAGGUUAUACCGGCUAUGUAGAUACAAACAGAUUAGGUUUCAUGUUGUGAUGCAUUUUUGUAUCGUUGCUUAUAUACCCUGCAGGAUUGGUGAUGAAAACAAAUAAAUGAUGUGUUAAAAGGA